CCUACGGGUGGCAGCAGUGAGGAAUAUUGGUCAAUGGCCGUAAGGCUGAACCAGCCAAGUCGCGUGAAGGAAGAAGGAUCUAUGGUUUGUAAACUUCUUUUAUAGGGGAAUAAAGGUAUCCACGUGUGGAUAUUUGCAUGUACCCUAUGAAUAAGCAUCGGCUAACUCCGGGCCAGCAGCCGCGGUAAUACGGAGGAUGCGAGCGUUAUCCUGAUUUAGUGGGUUUAAAGGGUGAGUAGGUUGUUUUUUAAGUCAUGGGUGAAAGUUUGUGGCUCAACCAUAAAAUUGCCGUUGAAACUGGAAGACUGGAGUGUGUUUGAGGUAGGCGGAAUGCGUGGUGUAGCGGUGAAAUGCAUAGAUAUCACGCAGAACUCCGAUUGCGAAGGCAGCUUACUAAGCCAUAACUGACACUGAAGCACGAAAGCGUGGGGAUCAAACAGGAUUAGAUACCCCUGUAGUC
rnacentral:rRNA from 1 species